GGGGAUGAUCGGCCUAGACAAGUGAAUUCCACUUGAAUAUGCAAAGGAGAGCACCGUUAACUCUUUAAUCUGACGGAAACUCUAAGCGCAAAAAACUUAGUAUCUAAAGCAGGGUCUGUUUUGUCUCCGUAUUUCGGAGCAAACGAUUUUGCUUUCGCUCGAGCUUCGGCUUAAGUGACGGCUAUUAUCCCAAGGUCCGAUAGGGAUACUUAGUUGUUAUAUAAUCGGAAUAGAGAUCAUAGUGUUUCGAUGUGAUCUGACAUAAAACGAAACUCGUCUUUCCGGCAUUUGGUUCGCUUCGAACCGGAACGAUCAAAUCCUUUCCGCCACGGCGGAUUGGUCUAAAGCAAACUACCCUUUGUAGAAAUAUUCAUGUGCUUCAUUUGCACCCGAGUUCGAUUCUCGGCAUCUCCACAG
rnacentral:tmRNA from 1 species